GGAUAAGACUUUUUUAGCAGAUUCCCCUAUCGCUGUCAACGCAAUCACAAGUUGAUACGAGUCUAUGCAAGUGAUAAAAAUACAAACUUUAGCUCAUUUAAAUUGAACUUAAAAAUCAAUCAAAAUAUUUCAAAUCCCAUGCCCACAGUCGUCCAUUAUGAGGCAAUCUGCUUUCACACGACAUGCACUUGCUCAUACAUGCUACUACAUCCUCUUAAUGGAGUAUAUUAUAUUUUACGAGCAAUUACAUAACUGAUUCUGGUAUUUGCAGUCAUAGAUCUUCAUUAGAAGUUGAUACAAGGACUCGAAAGUGGGAAUCCAAAAGAGAUUUACCUCUGGGAGGACAAUUUUCUUUAACUUGCAAGAAGCAAAAGAUUGAUACCUUAUAUAACAGCCCAUGAUAAGAAACUUCCCAGCUUCUAGACUAGCAAUCCACAUAUUCAAACUUCAUUAUGCCAAUUCAAAUACUCUACCACUUACACUCGUUUGGACCCAUUCCAAUGUUGGUAGCUUUAA
rnacentral:misc_RNA from 1 species